rnacentral:rRNA from 1 species
UACGUAGGUGGCAAGCGUUGUCCGGAUUUACUGGGCGUAAAGGGAGCGUAGGCGGACUUUUAAGUGGGAUGUGAAAUACCCGGGCUCAACCUGGGUGCUGCAUUCCAAACUGGAAGUCUAGAGUGCAGGAGGGGAAAGUGGAAUUCCUAGUGUAGCGGUGAAAUGCGUAGAGAUUAGGAAGAACACCAGUGGCGAAGGCGACUUUCUGGACUGUAACUGACGCUGAGGCUCGAAAGCGUGGGGAGCAAACAGGAUUAGAUACCCCGGUAGUCCCUGAGCGGG